rnacentral:rRNA from 1 species
GUCCGCCAGAAAAUUACGAGCGAAAGCCUAAAACUCAAAAGACUUGACGGUGUCCCAACCUACCUAGAGGAGCCUGUUCCAUAAUCGAUAACCCCCGAUAAACCUAACCACCCCUUGAAAUAUCAGCCUAUAUACCGCCGUCGACAGCCCACCUUCUAAAAGAAACAAAGCAGGCUAAAUAGAAUAUCUCUAAAAAGUCAGGUCAAGGUGUAGCUAAUGGGGUGGAGACAAUGGGCUACAUUUUUUAAAAUAAAAUAUACGAAUUAGUAUUUUGAAACAAAACUAUAAAGGUGGAUUUAGCAGUAAGUCAAAAAAUAAUACUUG